UAGAGUUUGAUCAUGGCUCAGGAUGAACGCUAGCGGCAGGCCUAAUACAUGCAAGUCGAGCGGCAAGUUGAGUAGUAAUACUUGACCUAGAGCGGCGCACGGGUGCGUAACGCGUAUGCAACCUACCUUUUACUGGGGGAUAGCCCGGAGAAAUCUGGAUUAAUACCCCAUGGUACCUAUUGGUCGAAUGACUGAUAGUUUAAAGAUUUAUCGGUAAGAGAUGGGCAUGCGUCUGAUUAGCUAGUUGGCGGGGUAACGGCCCACCAAGGCGACGAUCAGUAGGGGUUCUGAGAGGAAGGUCCCCCACACUGGCACUGAGAUACGGGCCAGACUCCUACGGGAGGCAGCAGUAGGGAAUAUUGGGCAAUGGUCGCAAGACUGACCCAGCCAUGCCGCGUGCAGGAAGACGGCCCUCUGGGUUGUAAACUGCUUUUAUCUGGGAAGAAAAAGUCCAUGCGUGGAAAAUUGCCGGUACCAGAUGAAUAAGCACCGGCUAACUCCGUGCCAGCCGCCGCGGUAAUUC
rnacentral:rRNA from 1 species